CGACCACCUCUCGAGGAAGCCUGUUCUAGUGUUUGACCAUCCUCUCGGUAAAGAAAUGCUUCCUCAUGUUACGUCUGAGCCUCCCCUGGCGCAGCUUUGAACCAUUCCCACGCAUGACGCGUGGAUCCCAGGGAGUAGAGAGCAGCACCUCCCUCUCCACGUCCCCUCCUCAGGAAGCUGCAGAGAGCAAUGAGGUCGCCCCUCAGCCUCCUUUUCUCCAAACAAGACAAACCCAGAGUGCUCAGCCGCUCCUCAGAGGACAUGCCUUCCAGCUGUAGAUCUGCUCCGGAGAACUGGGAUUUUGAGGAAAUGACGUUCAAAGGACAUGCUAGACCUGGAAAAGGUGGGGGGUCCCCACUCCCAGGGACCUUGCUUUGUCCUCUCCUGCUAACUCCUGCUCUUAGGAGAAGAAAAGGUGAAUGUAGGUGAAGGGGAACAUUGCCUGGGUCCAGCCUGGAUUCCUUCUUCUCCAGCUACAUUGCUGGUUGGACCCUCUUAGUGCCAACUCGUCACCUUUGUGGUGGCAGCUGGGCACAGGCAACAGCAUUGGUGUCCCUGGUCUCCUCCAAUGCCAUGGGGUCUGGUCCUCGCAUCUCUGGAGAAUAGCCAAGGAGGCGGCCGAGUUGCGUGCCGACCAGCUGCCUGGUGCCCGGAGCCCCGGGUCCUGCGGAGAGAUCCCAGCCACGAGCACACACAUACCUGCAGAGUCCCAAAACCAAUCCUGAAACGUGAGGGGUCUCUUUGAAGCACAGAGCACCCUCCUUGUCAUGGGAAACACCCCAAAGGACUUGUCCCGUGUGGUGAGGAACACCUACCUCAACCAAGAAAAGGAAAUUGCUUUCUGAAAGCCAGCUUAGCCACCCUGAUGCAGGCAGGGUGAGACCGGAGGAAAGCUGGGUUUCUCAACAGAUGGGUGCCCUGGAUCCUCUUCACUGGAAUUUUGUGUUUUGGAGGGUGAGAAAAGGUUUAAUGGGUUCCUCUUUGCUGUGCCCCCCCCCAAAAAUAAUAAUAAAAAAACCCCAACUCUUUGGCAGCUGAGUUGCAUAAUUGCAGCGUUUUGGUAGGAAAUACAACAAUUUCAUGUAGGAUCGCACCAUGAAGACUCACAGGAGUUUACAUUCAGCGCUCUUCUUGUGCAAGAGGUAUCUCUGCGUUCUGGUGCCACUGCAGAGCCUGCGUGGACGGCGCGUCACAGCUGCGACCAAGCAAAGGCAUGGGGCCGGCAGUCGACCCGCUGCCGCAUCGGUCGGUGGCCGGGCAUGGAGGCCAGCGGGGAACUCACGAAGCCCACGGUCUCGUCAGCACCAAGGUGGGGCCUGUCCUGGCAGCAAAGGCAGAGCAGGGUGUUGAUCAGACCUACGUGAUCCUCCCUGUGCCCGGGGGAACAGGCUGCAGCGACGGGCAGUGGAGGCAACUCAAUAAACAGUUUUUUCUCAACGCUA